AGCAGUAAAUUUAAUUUAGAUUUACCAGAGUACUACGAAUAGAAAGUUUAAAACUCAAAGAGCUUGGCGGUGUUUUAGACCCCUCAGGGGAACCUGUCCUAUAAUCGACAAUCCACGUUAAACCUGACCCUUUAUAGCAAUUCAGCCUGUAUACCGUCGUCGUAAGGUAACUUCUUAAAAUAUAGUAGUUAGCCCGAGAACUCUGUUAGUUAAUACGUCAGAUCAAGGUGCAGCUAAUAAAAGGGAGAGGAUGGGUUACAAUUAUCUAAUCAUAAUUAUGAAAGACAUUUCAAAUAAGAUGUUCAGAAAGAGGACUUGAAAGUAAUUCUAACUAUAUAAAUAGAAUGAAUAAGGCUCUGAAACGUG
rnacentral:rRNA from 1 species